UCUUCCUUUUAGUUUUAACGGGGGGAAACUUUCUCGAGGCUAUGAUCGCGGCGCGGCGAUCGAAUGCCGUGGAAGCGCUUGCUCGUCGCCACCGCCAGCAUCGAUUUCCUCCGCCGCCGCUGGAUCCACUCGAGCUCUGCGAGAAUAUUUUCCAGCGAGGCGCUGGAAUCGGUGCUCAACCAGAUCGAGCAGGGCCAUCUCACGGUGAAAUUCGCGGAUUCCUACGCCGAUCUCAUCCGCCGCUGCUGUGAUUCGGGGUCCCUGGAUCUUGCCAGGCGGCUCCACGCACAGGUCGUGAUCGCGGGGCACGGCGAGAGCUCCUACAUCGCAGGGCUGCUCGUCCAUCUCUACGUCAAAUGCGGGGAUCUGGAGGGCGCGUGGCGCGUCUUCGAUGCGAUCGCCGUCAAGAACCGGGCGGUGCUGUGGAAUAUCUUGAUCGGGGAGUACGAUCGCAUCGGGGAUGGAUGCCGCGCGCUGGAUCUCUACAAGAGGAUGGAGGCGGAGCCGGACAAGGUCACGUUCGUGCUGGCGCUGCGCGUGUGCGCGGGGCUGAGGAGCCUCGGCGAAGGUAUGGCUGUUUACGAGCGAUUGUGUUCUUCGAUUCAUCUCAAGCACGACAUCAAAUUGCAGAAUGGAGCAAUCAGCAUGUUUGCGAAGUGUGGCGCCUUGGAUCUGGCAGUCCGGGUUUUUGAUCAGAUGCCGGAGAGGGACGUGGUAUCAUGGAACUCGAUCAUCACAGCAUUUGCCCACUCAGGGCAUUCCCUGGAGUGCGUUCAUUUCUACCACCGAAUGCUGCUCGAGGGAUUCCGGCCGAAUGGAGUGACCUUCUCUGGUGUCGCUAGCUCUUGCUCGGGCAGAGAAGAGCUCGAUACGAUCCAAGCAUCCAUCGCCGCCAGCGACUUCCACAGCAACGUGGUUGUGAAGAACUCGCUCGUUUCGGCCUAUACGAGGAGUGGGGACUUGAGAUCCGCGAGAAAGGUGUUUGAUAGCAUUGAGGACAAGGAUCUCAUAUCCUGGAACUCGAUGGUGGUGGCGUAUUCCCAGCACGGUCACGGUGAGGAGAUGCUGGAGCUCUUCCGGAAGAUGGACGUGGAGCCCGACUCUAUCACUUACGCGAGCAUCCUCGGGGCUUGCUCGGCGAUGGAGCUGCUAGAACUUGGGAAGGAAGUUCAUGCUCGGGUGUCGAGGAGCCGGUUUAAGUCGGAUCCAGCGCUGGCGGCUGCUCUCAUCAACAUGUACUCCAAGUGUGGAGUGCUGGAGAGUGCCAGAAGAGUUUUUGACGGGAUCCAGUCGGUGGAUCCUUCGCCGUGGAAUGCAAUGAUCUCGGGGCUUGUUCAGCACGGGAGAGCUCGAGAGGCUCUUGGGCUUUUUGAAAGGAUGAAGGCCGAGAGCGUUCGGAUCGACAAAGUCAGCUAUCUCACCAUCCUCAGUGCUUGCUGCGCCUUGGAAGAUCUACACGAAGGCAUCAGGAUCCACGAGCAUGCUUCUGCGUGUGGGAUGGGCAAAGACUUGGUGGUGGAAACUGCGGUGUUCAACAUGUACUCCAAGUGCCGCCAAGUCGACUUAGCUCGGAAGAUGUUCGAUGGGAUGAACGAGAAGACUGUGAUUUCUUGGAACGUGAUGAUCGCAACGUACUCCCAAGCUGACGACAAGCUUCUCAAUCGGCAAGGACUAGAUUUAUACGGAUUGAUGGAGGCUGAAGGCGUUCAAGCCGACGAGAGAACUUUCAUCCACUUGCUGAGUGCCUGCGUCAACUUGGGAGCAGUGGAAGAGGCUCGAGCUAUUCACAAGAGAAUCCUGGCGAGCGGAUGCAAGGCAAGUGAGGUUUUGGAGACGGCAAUAGUCACCAUGUACGCAAGGUUCGACAUGCUGGAGGCUUCGAGGAGUAACUUCGAUAGGAUGGAGAAGAAGUCCGUGACUGCGUGGAACGCGAUGAUCUCAUCGUAUGCUCAGCACGGCCAGGCCAGCAAGUCGCUUCUACUUUUCCAUCAGAUGAGUUUGGAGGGUGUAAAGCCGGAUGCCAGAACUUUCGUCAGUGUUAUUGGAGCGUGCUCAAGCCUCCAGGCGCUUGAGAAAGGCAGAGCGGUGGAGGAACAGGCAACCUCUAUGGGAAUUGAGGAAGGAAGGACUGCGCUUUUGAGCUUGUACGCCAAGUGUGGAAAUUUAGAGGCCGCAAGAGAUAUCUUCGACAAGCUCAAGUAUAGAAAGAACGUGGUUUCUUGGAACUCCAUGAUAGCUGCUUAUGCUCAGAGUGGACGCGGCAGGGAAGCUCUAGAACUAUACGAGCUGAUGAAAGAAGAGGGGGUCCAGCCAGAUGAUAUAACUUAUGCUGGUGCUCUUGGAGCAUGCACUAGCUAUGGUGGAUCAGCCAAAGGAGUAGAGAUACACUCAAGAAUAACGGAGAGCAAGAUCAGGACGGACGUCUUCCUCGACACUGCGAUUGUCAACAUGUAUGCGAAGUGUGGAGAACUGGAGACCGCCAUGAGCUACUUCGAGAAGAUGCGAAGGAAGAAUGCUGUUACUUGGUCCGCAAUGGUGGGAGCAUUCAUCCAACACGGCUACGAUAGAGAAGCUCUAGAUCUGUACCUAAGGAUGGUCUCAGAAGGAUUUCAGCCGAGUGAAAUCACACUUGCCGGGGCCUUAGCAGCGUGCUCGAGGAUCGGUGCUCUCCAAGAAGGAAAAGCUAUACAUUCGAGGAUACAGGCAACGGAGACGCUCCAAAACUGCCUCUUUCUUCAAAACUCGCUGCUCAACAUGUACGCGAAGUGCGGCUGCCUCGCCAUCGCAAACACCAUGUUCAGCAAUCUCCAAAGGAGGGACUCGUUCUCGUGGAACACGAUCAUAGUCGGGCAUGCACACCAUGGAGACGUGGACGAAGUUCUCAGCUUGCACGGCGAGAUGGUACAGGACGGUGUCGACCCGGACUAUGUCACUUUCGCCUGCGUUCUACUCGCGUGUAGCCAUGCGGGCCUGCUCGACAGAGGAAGGAGCCACUUCCUGUCUAUGGAGAUGGAGUUUGGAGUGGCCCACGACACCGAGCAUUAUCUCUGCAUGGUCGAUCUUCUUUCUCGAGCCGGACGAGUUGAGAGUGCUGAAGAGCUCGUCCACAGUAUGCCGUAUGAGCCUCCAGCCAUGGGCUGGACUACUUUGCUCGGCUCUUCCGAGGUGCAAGCUGAUCUCGAUAGAGGGUCACGCUAUGCCGAAGUUGCUGCUGGUCUGGAACCGGGCAGCAGUUCUUCCUACGUGUUGCUCUGGAACAUUUACAGCCGCAGCAAGACGGACGCUUCCGGCCUGGAGCAUUUGUUUUUAUAACACUGCCAAAGGCGGAUGUGUGUUCUGGGAGUGUUGGAAUCACCAGGACUUGUUGCAAGGUCAAUCAUAUGACGUUUACUUAGAUGGGAUGCUGGAGGACACUGGACGAAGCUGUCGAGCAGCUACACCAGCACGAGCCAGGAAAGCUUUUCGGUGC